rnacentral:rRNA from 1 species
GACGAACGCUGGCGGCGUGCCUAAUACAUGCAAGUCGAACGCAGUGGGGACGGGUGUGUAACACGUGGGUAACCUCCCAUCAGAGGGGAUAACACUUGGAAACAGGUGCUAAACCGAUAUUUAUGGAUGGACCCGCGGUGCAUUAGCUAGUUGGUGAGGUAACGGCUCACCAAGGCCACGAUGCAUAGCGGACCUGGGAGGGGGAUCGGCCAAACUGGGACUGAGCAACGGCCCAGACUCCAACGGGAGGCAGAAGUAGGGAAUCUUCGGAAGUGGACGAAAGGCUGACCGAGCAACGCGGCGUGAGUGAAGAAGGUGUUCGGAUCGUAAAACGCUGUUGUUAGAGAAGCGGUAUCUAACCAGAAAGCCACGGCUAACUACGUGCCAGCAGCCGCGGUAAUAC